rnacentral:rRNA from 1 species
AAUGAACGCUGGCGGCAGGCCUAAACAUGCAAGUCGAGCGCCCUAGCAAUAGGGAGCGGCGCACGGGUGAGUAACACGUGGGAAUAUGCCUUUUGGUACGGAACAACCUCGGGAAACUGAGGCUAAUACCGUAUGGUCCCUUCGGGGUAAAGAUUUAUCGCCAAAAGAGUAGCCCGCGUUGGAUUAGCUAGUUGGUAAGGUAACGGCUUACCAAGGCGACGAUCCAUAGCUGGUCUGAGAGGACGAUCAGCCACACUGGGACUGAGACACGGCCCAGACUCCUACGGGAGGCAGCAGUUAGGAAUAUUGGACAAUGGGCGCAAGCCUGAUCCAGCCAUGCCGCGUGAGUGAUGAAA